rnacentral:tRNA from 1 species
UGGAGUUGUGGCUCUAUGGUAGAGCACUUGCCUGGCAUGUGUGAGGCCCUGGGUUUGAUCCUCAGCACUGCAA